rnacentral:lncRNA from 1 species
GGCCCUCAGCCCAGCCCCUUGCAGGCUGGACCUUGAAGAGUGAGGCUCUGAGGCGAGACAUGAGCACCUGGUUCCUGGCCUGCACCUGCAUCUGCACCUGUGUCUGCUCGGGAGUCUCUGUCUUGGGGGAUGGACGAGGACCAAGGGCCAAACUUCACCUGCCUCACCAACAACAAUCUCAGGAUCGAUUGCCACUGGUCUGCCCCAGAGCUGGGCCAGGGCUCCAGCCCCGGGCUCCUCCUUGCCCUUUCUAGCAAGCAGGCUCCUGGUGGCACACAUAAGUGCAUCUUGUGGGGCAGUGAGUGCACUGUCGUGCUUCCACCCAAGGUGGUGCUCCUGCCGUCCGACAAUUUCAUCAUCACUUUCCACCACUGCACGUUUGGGAGGGAGCAGGUCAGCCUGGUGGAGCUGCAGUACCUGCCCUGGAGACACGUGAAGCUGGACCCGCUCUCUGACUUGCAGAGCAUCCUGACCUGGAGCAUCAGUCCUGCCUUGGAGCUGAUGACCACACUUCUCAGCUAUGAGCUGGGCUUCAAGAGGCAGGAGAGACAGGCCCUCUGAUCCCACCCUGGGGGCGGCCAGGCAACACCUUUGUUGCUGUGUCUGUCUUUCUCCUGCUGACUAGCCUGACCUACCUCCUGUUCAAGCUGUCGCCCAAGGGUGAAGAAAAACUUCUACCAGAAUGUGUCCUCUCCAGCAGUGUUCUUCCAGCCCUCUACAGUGUGCACAAUGGGAACUUCCUGUUCCAGACUUGGAUGGGGGCCCACGGGGCAGGUGUGCUGCUGAGCCAGGACUGUGCUGGCACCCCACGAGGAGCCUUGGAGCCCUGCAUCCAGGAGGCCACUGCACUGCUCACUUGUGGCCCAGUGGGUCCUUGGAAAUCUGUGGUCCUGGAGGAGGAGCAAGAGGGCACUGGGACCAGCCUCUGGGGCAACCUGAGCUCAGAGGAUGUGCUGCCAGCAGGGUGUAAGGAGUGGAGGGCACAGCCGCUUGCCUAUCUGCCACAGGAGGACUGGGCCCCCAUGUGCCCCACCAGGCCAGCUCCCCCAGACUCAGAGGGCAGCAGUAACAGCAGUGACUACUGAGCCUCGAGCUGCUACGGGGGAUGCCACCCCUCAUCCCUCCCAGGAAACACACAGAGCCCUGGGCCCAUCCCAGCCCUGGCCUGUGGCCUUUUCUGUGACCAUCAGGGCUUGGAGACCCAGCAAGGAGAUGCCUGGGUGCUGGCUGGUCACUGCCAGAGAUCCGGGCUGCAUGAGGACCUCCAGGGCACGUUGCUCCCUUCCGUCCUCAGCAAGGCUUGGUCCUGGAC